UCAACCCUGAAAUGUGACAUUUGUUGAAAUUAGUGAAUAAAAAAAAUAAAAAUAAAAAAAAACAAAUUGAAAAUUUUUCAAAAGCAAAACAAAUAUGAAAAAUGGAAAAUAAUAUUAUUAUAAUAUGCUCAGCCCCUAAGAUUAAUAAUUUUACAAGCGCAAAAACCAUAGAAAGCUAAGGAAGAGGGUUAGACGAAAAGGCCGACGGAAAUGGAAGUGACUUAAAAUGGAUAUUUUUCGACUAUUUGGUCAGGGACCCAAAUGAUCAAUCCAAAGCAGUUCUGGAUAAAGCUUUUUACGAUCUCGAGGCCAACAUUGUGGUUUUUUUUACCCUACAGUUUGAAACAAGAGAAAACAUUUCACAGUGCACCAGUGGCUGCAAAGUGUAGUUUUGACAUGCAUUUUAAAUGGUAGCAUCGUAACAUAUCUAACUAUUCGCUGGAACGAACACAAAUUGUGUUUCCCUUCGUGUGGUGUCCAAAUAGUGGCCAAAAUGUAUCAAAGAAAUCUCUUAAUAAACACAAUAGAGUAUUAAUUUUUA